GUGCCCUGCGCGCCGCCGCCGCCUCCUCCCCUCCGCCCGCCGCGCGCUCCGCCCGCCUCCCCCCGGCCGGAUCUGGCGCCCCCUGCCCUCCUCCUCGCCCACGCGCAAUCUGUUUUCUGCAGGAAGCCGGGACACAAUGCGGCUACCUGCUCUGGCAAGGAAGGCCAACCUCAACGGACGGAAGAUGGGGCUAGCAAGAAAGCACGCCGAACGGAGGAAGUAGCAGGUGCAAGGGGCAGGGGCACAAUUCAGCUACGUGUGCUGUUGAACUUCAGAAUUGAACAGGCGUGUGAUUGAUCGGGCUGCCAUAAUUUGUUUCAAGUUAAUCAGACCAACAAUUGUGUUGUGGUCUGUUGUCACUAGCAUGUGUUUUGUCCCAUGUUGUUUUGCUUGUAACAUCUAGCUUGGCUGUUGGUCUGUCAGGUGUUAAGACGACAAUCUGAACCUUGUCAUCUUGGCUUGACUGUUCUUCUGUUGAAACAACAUUUGGCUGUCAUUUUGGCUGCGAACCUGAACCAUAUAUCCUUUUAUUUUAUGCCAAGAUUGUUUGCUCGUAACAUUAUAGCUUGGCUGCUGGUCUGUUCCUGUGUUGAGUCGAUCACAAAAGGUGUUGUGUGGGUCUCUAAUUGAGCACUAGGUGAUCUGAAUCUGCUACCUGCCGUCGAUAGUUUGGCCUACUUGCUGGAGGAGGAGGACGAGGAGCUUCUCUUCUUCUCUUGCUGUAAACGUCUGUUCUCUGAUUAAGAAAAAACUUAGGAUUGCUUCUUUGCAA